CACGUAGGGGGCGAGCGUUGUCCGGAUUUAUUGGGCGUAAAGAGCUCGUAGGCGGCUCGGUAAGUCGGGUGUGAAAUUUCGGGGCUCAACCCUGAAAAGCCACCCGAUACUGCUGUGGCUAGAGUCCGGUAGGGGAGUGGGGAAUUCCUGGUGUAGCGGUGAAAUGCGCAGAUAUCAGGAGGAACACCAGCGGCGAAGGCGCCACUCUGGGCCGGUACUGACGCUGAGGAGCGAAAGCGUGGGGAGCGAACAGG
rnacentral:rRNA from 1 species